GAGAAAAGCUCAUACAUUAUCAUCAGUGAAUGAAGAAGAAGAGGAGGAGGAUAAGCAAAGAAAGAAGGCUCAUCUCGAUAAUAAGGAAGAUAAAAUAAUAAAUUCAGGAAACC